GAGUUUGAUCAUGGCUCAGAUUGAACGCCGGCGGUAUGCUUAACACAUGCAAGUCGAACGGUAACAGGCCUUCGGGCGCUGACGAGUGGCGGACGGGUGAGUAACGCGUAGGAAUCUGCCUCAUAGUGGGGGACAACGUGGGGAAACUCACGCUAAUACCGCAUACGCCCUACGGGGGAAAGCGGGGGAUCUUCGGACCUCGCGCUAUGAGAUGAGCCUGCGUUAGAUUAGCUAGUUGGUAGGGUAAAGGCCUACCAAGGCGACGAUCUAUAGCUGGUCUGAGAGGACGAUCAGCCACACUGGGACUGAGACACGGCCCAGACUCCUACGGGAGGCAGCAGUGGGGAAUAUUGGACAAUGGGCGCAAGCCUGAUCCAGCAAUACCGCGUGUGUGAAGAAGGCCUAGGGUUGUAAAGCACUUUCAAUUGGGAGGAAAACCUGCCGGUCAAUACCCGGCAGCUUGACAUUACCUUUAGAAGAAGCACCGGCUAACUCCGUG
rnacentral:rRNA from 1 species